CGAACCGGGGGAACUGAAACAUCUAAGUACCCCGAGGAAAAGAAAUCAACCGAGAUUCCCCCAGUAGCGGCGAGCGAACGGGGAGCAGCCCAGAGCCUGAAUCAGUGUGUGUGUUAGUGGAAGCGUCUGGAAAGGCGCGCGAUACAGGGUGACAGCCCCGUACACAAAAAUGCACAUGCUGUGAGCUCGAUGAGUAGGGCGGGACACGUGGUAUCCUGUCUGAAUAUGGGGGGACCAUCCUCCAAGGCUAAAUACUCCUGACUGACCGAUAGUGAACCAGUACCGUGAGGGAAAGGCGAAAAGAACCCCGGCGAGGGGAGUGAAAAAGAACCUGAAACCGUGUACGUACAAGCAGUGGGAGCACGCUUAGGCGUGUGACUGCGUACCUUUUGUAUAAUGGGUCAGCGACUUAUAUUCUGUAGCAAGGUUAACCGAAUAGGGGAGCCGAAGGGAAACCGAGUCUUAACUGGGCGUUAAGUUGCAGGGUAUAGACCCGAAACCCGGUGAUCUAGCCAUGGGCAGGUUGAAGGUUGGGUAACACUAACUGGAGGACCGAACCGACUAAUGUUGAAAAAUUAGCGGAUGACUUGUGGCUGGGGGUGAAAGGCCAAUCAAACCGGGAGAUAGCUGGUUCUCCCCGAAAGCUAUUUAGGUAGCGCCUCGUGAAUUCAUCUCCGGGGGUAGAGCACUGUUUCGGCAAGGGGGUCAUCCCGACUUACCAACCCGAUGCAAACUGCGAAUACCGGAGAAUGUUAUCACGGGAGACACACGGCGGGUGCUAACGUCCGUCGUGAAGAGGGAAACAACCCAGACCGCCAGCUAAGGUCCCAAAGUCAUGGUUAAGUGGGAAACGAUGUGGGAAGGCCCAGACAGCCAGGAUGUUGGCUUAGAAGCAGCCAUCAUUUAAAGAAAGCGUAAUAGCUCACUGGUCGAGUCGGCCUGCGCGGAAGAUGUAACGGGGCUAAACCAUGCACCGAAGCUGCGGCAGCGACGCUGAUGCGUUGUUGGGUA
rnacentral:rRNA from 1 species